GGCAAGGGGGGGGGGGGGGGCGACCAAGCUGUUGAAGAAGAGUUCUGUCUUGAAUGCCUCGAGUUCCCCUUUUAAUGCCCCCUGACUUCAAAAAUCCAGGGUUACGUUAUUCCGCGCGGCCAAUCGUGCGCCUACCUGUGAUUUUCGCUCGUUUUCUUUCCCUUAUAAGGAGUGUUGCGACGGUUAUUUCUGCUACCUAUUGUAUAUGCACCCGUACUCAUUAAUUUCUGACUCAACCUGUUUAAUCUGGAAGGACGUCCGGCUGGCGAAUACACACCCUGCUAGUGUGUAUUUGGUCUGGGGCCGGGGGAGGUCAUGGCGCUGGGAUCCCCUGACCUCAUUGUCUGCUCUGCUCGCUUAAUUGCCGCUGGCCCAGUGAACCUUUGUGCGUCCAUACAAUUUUAAGCCAAUUUAUGGGCACCGCAAUGUAACCUGUCCUGUGCGCUGCGUGCGUGUGUGUGUGCUCAGGGUGGGGGCCAGGGGGAGUCGCGGCGCUUGUGGAGUUGCUCCGCGGCCGUGGCACCACGUAACUAAUUUGCAUGUCUUCUUUAUGUAAGAAACCUUACUAAUUGGCUGUGUCGGGUGAUGGCGGAUUUAACGACACGUUCAUAUUUACGCGAUCUAACCCAAACAAAUGUAUAUUAUGGAAUCAUCGUAAUAAACGGAAUCAUUGCUGAACGCUGCUACAUCUGGCUGUGAGAGUCGCUCCGCUCGCUCAGACUUCGCCGGACGGAGUUGGAGACGCUGCUGCUUGACCUGGAGCGUGUUACUAAGAGUUGCAGUACAAGACGGUGCAUGUACUCGACUCGUUCAGGCAGCCGCCCAAGGAAGUGGACUCGUCCUUCCUCAUCUAUCCGAUGAUACUGCCAUGGCUGCCGGCCAAGGCUGGAAACAGAUGAAGGCGUCCGCGUGUCUCUGAACGUGCAGAUGGUGAAGCAGCUGAAGCGCCGUUGCAGCGGGGGUGUGGUUGAGGAGGGAAUCCCCACGGAGAGCCUCCUGCACCUUGCCGGAUCUCACCCACGUGGUGUACGAGUCCCUGCAACCAGCAGCUGCAGCAGGACUUGUUCCAGCACCACCCCGCUGUGUGAAUGCCCGACGCAAUGCAGUACGCCUCGGACGCUCAGGGUUGCUCACAGCCACUGAUAAGUGUGCCAUGAUUCUCUUUCCCCUACCUGGCUGAAACUACAGAUCUGAUCAGUACAGCCUUUUCCUACUUUGCCACACAUUGCACAGGUCUUCACUUCAGAUCCAUAUGCUUGUUUAUUAUAUUCAACAAAACUAUAGUAAACUAGUAUGUAUGGCGAAUACAAAUUGCGUGACAAAUGGGUAAGAAACAUGGACGCGAAUGAACGAAGUGGAACAAAAACUAAAAAUUGGGCAGAGGCAUGGAGAGAUGCCCACUUGGAAUUGGAUUAAGAACCAUAAGAGGAACACAUAGAGCACAAUGAAAAUGUACUCUAAGGAUAUUAUGCAAACCGUUAAGAACAAGUAGUGGGCUUGGGCAAGACACAUCAUGGAUACAAAGGGAUGAUGGCCAAUGGUCAAUAAUAUGAUGGAGUGGUAGCCAAGGCUUGGAACAUGUCCCAGAGUCCGUCCACUGAGAGGGAGCAAUCCGCUCAUCGAAAGCCAGAGAUGGGCAAUAUCUAAAUUACACGUACCAUAAAUAUGCAAUUUCAUUAUAUUUAUAAUUGGUAUCGAAAUUAAACCUCAAAUUGGUGAUUUUAAUACAAGUGAAAAGAGGCAGUGUUAAUUGGUAAUUUGUUAUUAUCUUACAUCACUUGCGGUAAUUUCUAAUUUGAAUGGCUGUUGCCUACAUGACAGUGAGUAAAUCUGGAUGGCCUCAUAAUGCCCUUAUCAGAGCAUAGAGCCAGCAUGCUUUGGCCCAGUCACAAUUGAAAAACGGCUUCUUAACUCAAUGCACCUGACCCAAAAUAAACUGAUUCAGCAGUGUGACCUGAGUUUAGGGUAAGCCCCGCAUAAUUAAAACAGGAUUCUCAAGAUUAUUUUUUUAAACAGGUAAGAAAUCAAGAGACUAGGCAAGUCUCAUUUGCAACAGUGACCUUAAUUAGACACGUAUAUGCGUACAAAGAGGAACGCGCAUGCACAGACACUCAUUUAUAUACGUGAGAGAUGCACACACAAUGUAUAUAACAUUGUUUAGCUUUAUACAGCAUCGACGCUCAUGCGAAUUGCAUCUCACCGUCGCUGAGGAACCACAGACAAUCGUAAAAUCAUCAGGAGGGCAGUGAGCCAGCGCAAUCAAUUGCCCAAGCUCUGCGGUCCUCGAUAUAUUAAGAUGUUUUAAGACAAUGAAUGAGUGUUAAUACAUAGAUAUGCACGUGAGUGCAGUGUGUGAGCGUGGCUGCAAUAUGUCGAGGGCAGUGGGUGAGAUGAGCUUUGAUGAGUAAAUUGAAUAACGUUUUGCCAUG